rfam:Schistosoma margrebowiei strain Zambia genome assembly, scaffold: SMRZ_scaffold0002203
AGCCUUCUGUAUUCGUGCUGAGAUUUUGUCACACACUAGACCACAGAGGCUGAUACGAUUCCCAAGAUAAGUGAAACA